rnacentral:rRNA from 1 species
AGCGUAGGCGGUUCCUUAAGUCAGAUGUGAAAUCUUUUGACUCAAUCAGAAGGUGUCAUUUGAUACUGAGGGGCUUGAGAGCAGCAGAGGGAAAUGGAAUUUCCGGUGUAGCGGUGAAAUGCGUAGAUAUCGGGAAGAACACCAGUGGCGAAGGCGAUUUCCCAGGUUGUUUCUGACGCUGAGGCUCGAAAGCGUGGGCAGCGAAGCGGAUUAGAUACCCGCGUAGUCCACGCCCUAAACGGUGGACACUAGAUAUAGGAGGUAUCGACCCUUUCUGUGUCGAAGCUAACGCUUUAAGUGUCCCGCCUGGGGAGUACGACCGCAAGGUUGAA